rnacentral:lncRNA from 1 species
UUUCUGAUCUGAGAACUACUGUUUAUCUUUGAUUUAUGGAUUGAUUGGAGAGAUUCAGUAUUGGAGUUGCAUUCUAUAUGAAAUACCAAGCACCUCUGCUGCUGUUGGUCUGUCGACAAACGAAUCAGGUGGUUUUACAUUUUGGAAUGACUCAGUAGGUGCUUAAAUUUGAAAAGUUUCGAAGGUAUUGGGGCUGUGCUAAAAUUUGUUUUGUUUCACUUACAUGUGUGAUUUUGUUCAAACGGUGUUAAAAAUUAUGUAAGGAAUGGAGUAAUUAUCCAGGAGGUGCAUUUCAACAUAUUCCUCUAUGUUAGCUUAACGAGUGAAUGCAACACAUUCCAUCCAAACAAGCUUUAAAUAGGCCAAGAGCUUUUCAACAGACAAAUAUUAAAAGCUUAUAACUAAGAAUUGGUGGGGGUUUCCCUAAAGAGAGACCCUUCCAAAAAUUGGCGUAUGCCACUUGUUGCAACAAGCACACGGUAUUCUUUAGUAAAAGGCGAAAGAAUAAUUCGCUAUGUGCUCAAUGCGUGGCUGCGUGAGUUGGCAAGGUGGCUGGAGCCAACAUUAAAUAUGGGGCAAAGCUGUUUGCUCUGCAGCUUGCAUCCGAUGUGGGAUAAAUUCUACAAUCAAACAAUCAUCAACUGGUUGGUGAGACUAAAACAUUUUCUCAUUUAUUUGCCAUUGAGAAUAGGUGAAGGAAAAAAUGGGUAAGGAGAUUACAACAUUCAGAAUCUAAAUUUCAUCAAUAAAGUAAAAGUUCAAAUAGUUAAUGAACUACUAAAAUUUCCAUAUUAUUCGUCAUUUCCACUACUCAAAUGGCAACAUUUCAACUAACAGUAUGUUUCGGAUGGAAAAAACAAGUGUACUAACACUUGUUAUAAUCUAGUAGGAAGAAUAUUCAUUAUUUUACCUAUAUAUAUGUAUGCUUCUUUGUAUGUUAUAACGUAGAGAGGAAAAAAAAACAAUAACACACACUUUAUUUAAAUCAUUCUUCUUUUCCAUUUCAUUUACUUCUCCAUUACUAUUAUACAAUCCUUAUUAUUAGUUAUAUUAUUUUUCAAAUUAACUUGUUGGUAUUUGUAUUAAUAGUUUUGUUGAUUCCUGUAUUCUCUAAAUAUUUAGAGAAGUGCUUGUUUAAUUCUGGGCAAACAUUUCACGCUGCUAAAAUAGUUUUUUAGGAUAGUGCCCAGCACGACUCAAGUAUAAUAAAUAUAUAUACACUGAUAUAUUAUACUGUUAAUACUAUGAAAAUAAUAUUUUAUUCACAGCUGUAUAAUAGUAUUAUUUUUCUUUAUUCCCGAACAUCUAUGAACUUGAAUCUGAAACGUGGGGGUUAUUUGGAGUUGUUUAAACUUACUGUGAAGUCAUGAACAAAAAUUGUCAUAGAAACUCCGAUAAGGCGGAGAUUGGAUUCUUCGUUCUUGUAAGUGGUGGUUCAAAUUGAUUGCUAGGUAAUGUUCCUAUGCUUGUAAGAAGCUCAUGAUUCAAAUCUGAGCUGAUUUGGUGAAAGUUAUUGUACCGAUUUUAAAAGUCAUAACUGGGGAAAUGGACAAAGAAAACAACUUGAAAAGCUAAAGACCAUGUUUCGCUUUUGUCUCCCUGAAGCAGUGCAUUGAGCUGAGCUGAACAUUGAAAUCGAAAAUUGGCUGGAUGAAAGUAAUCGUUUAGACAAACUGUCAGCAGCUUGCUCUGUGAAAAGUUUCAUAUCCCUGAACUAAUUCAAAUGUCUCCAUGAUUCAGGUUCGUCUUAGUUUGAAUUCAGGAAUCUCUUCGAGGAAUUGAGUUUGCUUUUCUGAUCUGAGAACUACUGUUUAUCUUUGAUUUAUGGAUUGAUUGGAGAGAUUCAGUAUUGGAGUUGCAUUCUAUAUGAAAUACCAAGCACCUCUGCUGCUGUUGGUCUGUCGACAAACGAAUCAGGUGGUUUUACAUUUUGGAAUGACUCAGUAGUUGCUGAAAUUUGAAAAGUUUCGAAGGUAUUGGGGCUGUGCUAAAAUUUGUUUUGUUUCACUUACAUGUGUGAUUUUGUUCAAACGGUGUUAAAAAUUAUGUAAGGAAUGGAGUAAUUAUCCAGGAGGUGCAUUUCAACAUAUUCCUCUAUGUUAGCUUAACGAGUGAAUGCAACACAUUCCAUCCAAACAAGCUUUAAAUAGGCCAAGAGCUUUUCAACAGACAAAUAUUAAAAGCUUAUAACUAAGAAUUGGUGGGGGUUUCCCUAAAGAGAGACCCUUCCAAAAAUUGGCGUAUGCCACUUGUUGCAACAAGCACACGGUAUUCUUUAGUAAAAGGCGAAAGAAUAAUUCGCUAUGUGCUCAAUGCGUGGCUGCGUGAGUUGGCAAG